rnacentral:lncRNA from 1 species
AAUCCAAUACUUGAUCUUUUUAUUGGCUAAGUGCGAACCUUUUACACCUGUAUAAUCUAGUUAGUCCAAUUAUUUGUGUUGGGCAAUUCAACCACCAAAAUCAAUUAGGAAAAUAGGUGUAAGCCUAAUUCCCUUUCACUUCGUAGUUGCACUGCAUCAACAUGGCCCACUCCAAAUAAUUGGAGCGGGUGAGCAUUGGCCACAUGAGCGAGCUCUCCUGCACGUCGCAUGCCACAGUGCUUGACGACCUGUUGUCGCCCAUCUUCGUCACUAUCGGGUUUGUGUGUGGGAUUACACACUGAGAUUUGAUACUUGAUGUUGGCGCCACCUGCCAAAAUGCACAGCUCGACGACGAUCGACGAUACAUGAAUUGCGCCUACGAUGUCACACAAUCCUCUAACACACGCGAACACAGAAGAAUGGCGUUGCCUUGCGUUGUAGCCUUUUCGGUUUCGUUUGCUCCUCUUAUAUAUUGGUGUUUACACGGUCUGAGCCUCAUGACCCC